UGGGGAAUUUUGGACAAUGGGGGAAACCCUGAUCCAGCCAUCCCGCGUGUGCGAUGAAGGCCUUCGGGUUGUAAAGCACUUUUGGCAGGAAAGAAACGUCAUGGGUUAAUACCCCGUGAAACUGACGGUACCUGCAGAAUAAGCACCGGCUAACUACGUGCCAGCAGCCGCGGUAAUACGUAGGGUGCAAGCGUUAAUCGGAAUUACUGGGCGUAAAGCGUGCGCAGGCGGUUCGGAAAGAAAGAUGUGAAAUCCCAGAGCUCAACUUUGGAACUGCAUUUUUAACUACCGGGCUAGAGUGUGUCAGAGGGAGGUGGAAUUUCGCGUGUGGCAGUGAAAUGCGUAGAUAUGCGGAGGAACACCGAUGGCGAAGGCAGCCUCCUGGGAUAACACUGACGCUCAUGCACGAAAGCGUGGGGAGCAAACAGG
rnacentral:rRNA from 1 species